rnacentral:rRNA from 1 species
GAUGAACGCUAGCGGCAGGCCUAAUACAUGCAAGUCGAACGGUAAGGCCCUUUCGGGGGUACACGAGUGGCGGACGGGUGCGUAACGCGUAUGCAACAUGCCUUCCAGCGGGGGAUAUACCAGGGAAACUUGGCGCAAUACCCCAUAGAAUUACGGACCGCAUGGUCUUGUGAUUAAAACUACCGGUGCUGGGAGGAUUGGCAUGCGUGACAUUGCUAGUUGGCGGGGUAACGGGCCCACCAAGGCGACGAUGUCUAGCUGGUCUGAGAGGAUGAUCAGCCACACUGGGACUGAGACACGGCCCAGACUCCUACGGGAGGCAGCAGUGGGGAAGUCUUAGACAAUGGGCGGCAAGCCUGAUCUAGCCAUGCCGCGUGAGCGAUGAAGG